rnacentral:rRNA from 1 species
UACGAAGGGGGCUAGCGUUGCUCGGAAUCACUGGGCGUAAAGCGCACGUAGGCGGAUCUUUAAGUCAGGGGUGAAAUCCUGGAGCUCAACUCCAGAACUGCCUUUGAUACUGGGGAUCUCGAGUCCGGGAGAGGUGAGUGGAACUCCGAGUGUAGAGGUGAAAUUCGUAGAUAUUCGGAAGAACACCAGUGGCGAAGGCGGCUCACUGGCCCGGUACGUGACGCUGAGGUGCGAAAGCGUGGGGGAGCAAACAGG